rnacentral:rRNA from 1 species
AACGCGAAGAACCUUACCUGGGCUCGAACGGCUUAAGAUCAUCUUUGGAAACAGAGACUUCUCGCAAGAGACUUGAGUCGAGGUGCUGCAUGGCUGUCGUCAGCUCGUGUCGUGAGAUGUUGGGUUAAGUCCCGCAACGAGCGCAACCCUUAUCGUUAGUUGCCAUCGGGUCAAGCCGGGCACUCUAGCGAAACCGCCCAGGAUAACUGGGAGGAAGGUGGGGAUGACGUCAAGUCCUCAUGGCCUUUAUGUCCAGGGCUACACACGUGCUACAAUGGUCGGUACAAACCGUCGCAAACCCGCGAGGGGGAGCUAAUCGGAAAAAGCCGACCUCAGUUCGGAUUGGAGUCUGCAACCCGACUCCAUGAAGCUGGAAUCGCUAGUAAUCGCAGAUCAGAACGCUGCGGUGAAUACGUUCCCGGGCCUUGUACACACCGAGUAUA